rnacentral:rRNA from 1 species
ACAAUGCGGAACAAUGUUUUGCAAUUGGAUUGAGAACAACGUACAAACCUUAUCGAUAAACAAUUGGAGGGCAAGUCUGGUGCCAGCAGCCGCGGUAAUUCCAGCUCCAAUAGCGUAUAUUAACGUUGUUGCAGUUAAAAAGCUCGUAGUUGAAAUGAAGGGUAGUUGUGUAAUGAAUACAUUCGUGUAUUUUGUUAUUCUACUACCCUCCUUCUAAAUUCGAUAUAUGAGUAUUAAUUUACUUGUAUAUGGUUUUAGACGUUUACUGUGAGAAAAUUAGAGUGUUCAAAGCAGGCAUUUGCUUGAAUAUAUUAGCAUGGAAUAAUCAUGUAUGAUUUUCAUGAUGUAUUUGAUUGGUUUGGUUCAUGAGAAUAAGAUUAAAAGGGACAGUUGGGGGUAUUCAUAUUCAAUAGUCAGAGGUGAAAUUCUCGGAUUUAUGGAAGAUGAACAAGUGCGAAAGCAUUUACCAAGGAUGUUUUCAUUAAUCAAGAACGAAAGUUAGGGGAUCGAAGAGGAU